rnacentral:rRNA from 1 species
UACCUGUAGUCACGCGUAACGAUAAUGCAGACUCAGGGGCUUGCCUUGGUGUUCACACCUAACGGAUUAGCAUUCCGCCUGGGAGUACGUCGCAAGAUUAAACUCAAAGGGAAUGACGGGGGCCGCACAAGCGGUGGAGCAUGUGGUUUAAUUCGAAGCAACGCGCAGAACCUUACCAACCCUUGACAUCCUCUGACCGCCCGGGAGACCGGGUUUUCUCGUAAGAGACAGAGUGACAGGUGCUGCAUGGCUGUCGUCAGCUCGUGUCGCGAGAUGUUCGGUUAAGUCCGGCAACGAGCGCAACCCACAUCCUUAGUUGCCAGCAGGUUAAGCUGGGCACUCUAGGGAAACUGCCCGUGAUAAGCGGGAGGAAGGUGUGGAUGACGUCAAGUCCUCAUGGCCCUUACGGGUUGGGCUACACACGUGCUACAAUGGCAUCUACAGUGAGUUAAUCUCCAAAAGAUGUCUCAGUUCGGAUUGGGGUCUGCAACUCGACCCCAUGAAGUCGGAAUCGCUAGUAAUCGCGUAACAGCAUGACGCGGUGAAUACGUUCCCGGGCCUUGUACACACCACCCGUCACACCAUGGGAGUUGGUUCUACCCGACGGCCGUGCGCUAACCCUUACGGGAGGCAGCGGACCACGGUAGGAUCAGCGACUGGGGUGAAGUCGUAACAAGGUAGCCGUAGUCAAUCUGUUGUUCCA